ACGGGUGAGGAAUACAUCGGAAUCUACUCUGUCGUGGGGGAUAACGUAGGGAAACUUACGCUAAUACCGCAUACGACCUACGGGUGAAAGCAGGGGAUCUUCGGACCUUGCGCGAUUGAAUGAGCCGAUGUCGGAUUAGCUAGUUGGCGGGGUAAAGGCCCACCAAGGCGACGAUCCGUAGCUGGUCUGAGAGGAUGAUCAGCCACACUGGAACUGAGACACGGUCCAGACUCCUACGGGAGGCAGCAGUGGGGAAUAUUGGACAAUGGGCGCAAGCCUGAUCCAGCCAUACCGCGUGGGUGAAGAAGGCCUUCGGGUUGUAAAGCCCUUUUGUUGGGAAAGAAAUCCAGCUGGCUAAUACCCGGUUGGGAUGACGGUACCCAAAGAAUAAGCACCGGCUAACUUCGUGCCAGCAGCCGCGGUAAUACGAAGGGUGCAAGCGUUACUCGGAAUUACUGGGCGUAAAGCGUGCGUAGGUGGUCGUUUAAGUCCGUUGUGAAAGCCCUGGGCUCAACCUGGGAACUGCAGUGGAUACUGGGCGACUAGAGUGUGGUAGAGGGUAGCGGAAUUCCUGGUGUAGC
rnacentral:rRNA from 2 species